rnacentral:lncRNA from 1 species
AAAAACUUCAUAGAGGUAGAAUCUAGGUAUUAUCUGAGUGAGAAAAGAACUUAACAUUUAUUAACCACCAAUUUUAUCCCAUGUAAGUAUAUCCGUAUGUUAGGUACUUUACAUAAAUUAUCUCAUUUAUGUCUCUUAGCAACCCUGGGAAGUAAGCAUUAUCUCCUUGUAAGAAAAAUGAGACUCACCAAGUAACUUGGCUAGAAUCAGCUAAUAAAACAGCAGAGGCAAGAUUGAAGCUCAAAGUUUUGGGAUUUGGGGCUUAUCCUUCUACUCUACUUUCGAGGAUAAGAACUGGGAUUUAUAUAGAGAGAAUAUAUGAGAGAAAAAUAAGCAUUUAUUAAACAUCUACUUCUGACCAGACAACAUGCCACAUGCAUUAUUUCAUUUAGUUCUCAAAGCAUUAUUUUAUUCAAUCCUCACAAUAACCUUAUGAAAAGGAAGAAAACUAAGAUUUGUUGAGCACCUGCUAUGCGCCUAACACUUCAGUAGGGCUUAUAUAAGUUACUUCACAUGGUCUCCUAAUAGCCCACUGAAACCUGUAUUGUAGGCCAAACUUCCACCACACUUGCCUACCUCUCAAGGCAGUUCUAAAAGACAUCCCUCCAGGACUCAUAUUUCUAAGCAUUGUGCAGAACUUGUAUUCUACAAAACAUUGACUUUUUAAAGUCCUGUAUAGGCAACACAAAGGUCUUUCCAUACCAAUGACUUUUUAGUCCUUCGGUGGUCAUGAAUCUGUUGGCCCCUCCUCCCAGAUAAAUGCUUACAAUUACACAAUUUUGGAUACAAUUUCAGAGAAUUCGGCAGUUUCCUAAAGCCCAUCAAUGGACUCUUUGUUUAAAACAAACAAACAAACCUGUUCUAAAGAACAGAAAUAAAUCUUAGGAAAUAAGAGAGCUUAUUAAUGCUUCAGUUAUUGAAUUUUACAAAUCCUCUAGAACAUGAACACUUAUGUUUGACCAUUCUAUUAUGUUUCACAAAAUAGAUGUCUGUCCUGUUCUCUUUUUUUUUUUUUUCAGCCUCAGCACUAUUAACUUUUCUGGUGGUAUAAUUCUUUGUUAGGAGUGGGGGUUGGGUACUGUCCUAUGUGUUAUAGGAUGCUGAGCAGCAUCCCUGCCCUCUACUCACUAUGUGCCAGUAGCACACUCCCUGCAUCUCCCAGAUUUGACAACCAAGAAUGUACCCAGACAUUGCCAAAUGUCCCCAAGGGAAGGCAUAAUAACCCCCUGUUGGGAACUGCUGGUUUGUAGUAAUUACAGUCAUCAUUCCUGAGUCAUCCACAAGCAUAGAGGGCCUAUGAUCCAGACUUUUAAAAAGUAUUUCCUUUUCUUGGUUAACUAAGAUCUCUUACAAUACUUCUCAACUGGGUUAAUAAGCAAGAUGAUUCAUCUCACCAAUUAAAUUGCCACCUGAAGUUGUAAGGUUUUUCUUACCUAAGAGACCAAAAUGAAAGUUCAUAUAGCCACCCUAAUUUAUUGAUUGAAUGAUUGACUUAUCAAGUCAUUCAGUCAUUCAAGGAUUAUUUAUUAAAUGCUAACAAGGUAUCAGACAAUGUGCCAGAUGCUAGGGCUAAAAUGGUGACCAGCAUAGUUGUGGCCACUGCAUCAUGGAAUAUGUGAUCCAGUAAGGAAGACAGACUACAGAAAAAGUAAAAAAUAAGUGAAAAUAAUUAUAAACUGUGACAAGAGCCAUGAGGGAAGCACACACAAUGCAGAGGUGCAGACUAACAUAGGGAUUUGGAAAGGCUCGCUAGAAAAGGCCUCUCUGGAGAUGUGAAGGGUGGGAAAAGCCAACCAAGUUAAAAAAAAAUCAACUAGUGGGCAAGUGUUCCAGGCAGAGUAGGCAACCACGUGGCAAGACCCUGAGGCAAGGAAGAGGUUGGUGUGUUCUGGGUACUGGAAGAAGUCUACUGUGACUAGUGCUCAUGUGAGGUAAAAUAGGCAGGGGCCAGACCCUGUAGGGCUCUGCAAGCCAUGGUGAGACGUUGAAUCUCAUUCUUAAUAGAGUGGGAAGCCACUAAAGGCUUUUAAAUAGGUAAGGUAUCAUGAUUUGACAUACAUUUUAAAACUACUCUGGCUGUAGUGGAGAGUGGAGAGUAGUUGGCAUGAGUGGAAGUUAGGAGGCCAGUGCCAGUUGAGAGAUGACUGAUGGUGGUAGCAAUGGAGAUGAGAAGAAUGACAUAUUUUGGAGAUAGAACUGAUAUAAUGUCAGGGUGAGGGAAAUGGAGGAAUCAAGGUUUCUGACUGGAACAUUUUGUUGGACAGAGGUGGGAUUUAUUGAAAUGGGAAGGACCAGCUUGGUAAAAGAGAGAGAGAUUCUUUUCCUCGUCAAGUGAGCCACAAAUGUAGAUGCCUAACUAGUUAUUCAGUGAAAAGGGAAUUGAUUCAGUUCAACAAGCACCUACACACACUGGGUACAAUGCUAAGUGCUAAAGGUACAAAGAAGUAAAAGACAUAUCCCUUUGCUCAGAGAGCUUACAGCCCAGCUGGGGAGAUAGACAGACAUGCAAAGACAGUUUCAAUUCGCUGUGUUAAAUGCUAAGUUAGAGGCAUGCACAGAGUCUAUAAAGUCACAGAAGAAAGCCAGUUAGUGUGACUGGGGCAGGGGCAUGGGGGUCAGGGAGAGGUAUCCUGAAGAUGAGGUCUGGCUAAGGACUGAGCUGAGAAUUAGCCAGGCAGAUAAGUGUGUGAAAGUAUAGGAGGUUAAGGAAACAGCAAUAGAAAGGCACAUGGUGGUGAAAUAGCAUGAUGCCUUUAGGGAAUUAUAAAGAAUGCAGUAUUACCAAAACAUAAACUUGAAAGCAAGGAAUGGGAGGAGAUGAGACUAGAUAAUAACAGACAAUAGCUAACAAUUAUUGUGCACUUAUUAUAUGGCAAGCAGUGUUCUAAGUGCCUUACAUAGAUAUGUCAUGUAAUCUUCACAAUGAUAAUACAGAAUCUGAGAUAGGUGAUUAGGUACCUUGCUCGGAAUGACACACCAUCAGAGCUGAGAUUCAGAGCAAACAGUUUAAUUCCAGAGCUCAUGCUUUUAACCACAGAAAGCUGUGUCAUGCUAAAGAACUGGAAUGUACCUGUUGGCAGUACUGAGUCAUAGAAAGGCAGUGAUGUGGUCAGAUCUGUGUUUUGAUGAGAUGACUCAGGAGAGAUUUAAGAGAGGCUAGGCUGGAGACUGUUGCAAUACAUCAGGCAAGUGAUGGAGGGAGUAUGAAGUAGGGAUGAAGACUAGGGGAAAAUUUAGGAAAAUUUUAGGAGACAGAAUUAGGACAAAUCAGUGAUAAACUGGAUUCUGAGAGUAAAGAAGAAGGAGAAAUCUAGGGUGUCACCACUUAUUUUGGUCUGGAUGACUGGAUGAUAUUACUGCAUGACAAACAAAGGAGGAGCGAGGAGCACUGCAAGUGAGCCUUUUUACAUUGAAUACCAGGUGCCAGUAGAACACCUAGUAGAUCUUGCCAAGAUGCAGUUGGAUUUAAGAGUGUGAAGUUCAAGAGAGAGGUCAUGACUGGACAUAGAUCUGAAUAUUAAGAGUAUGAGGUUAAAACCAAGAGAGUAAAUAGAUUACUUCUGGAGAGUGGGUAAGAAAGAGACCAUGGAGGCAAGGAGGGAAUCUUAAAGAAUUUCAGUAUUUAAGAGACCAGCAAAACUGAGCUCACAGGGAGAUUGAAAAAUUAUGUUAAAGUGAGUUCCCAUCGUGGCGCAACAGAAACGAAUCCGACUAGGAACCAUGAUGUUGCGGAUUCAAUCCCCGGCCUCACUCAGUGGAUUAAGGAUCCUGCAUUGCCGUGAGCUGUGGUGUAGGUCACAGAUGCAGCUUGGAUCUGGCAUUGCUGUGGCUCUGGCGCAGGCCAGCAGCUAUAGCUCCAAUUCGACCCCUAGCCUGGGAACCUCCAUGUGCCAUGCGCGCGGCCCUAAAAAGACAAAAGACAAAAAAAA